UACGUAGGGUGCGAGCGUUGUCCGGAAUUAUUGGGUUUAAAGGGUGCGUAGGCGGCCCUGUAAGUCAGUGGUGAAAUACGGCAGCUCAACUGUCGAGGUGCCAUUGAUACUGCGGGGCUUGAGUGUUGAUGAGGUAGGCGGAAUUGACGGUGUAGCGGUGAAAUGCUUAGAUAUCGUCAAGAACACCGAUAGCGAAGGCAGCUUACCAAGCAAUAACUGACGCUGAGGCACGAAAGUGCGGGGAGCAAACAGG
rnacentral:rRNA from 1 species